UACGGAGGGUGCAAGCGUUAUCCGGAUUCACUGGGUUUAAAGGGUGCGUAGGUGGGUCUGUAAGUCAGUGGUGAAAUCUCCGGGCUUAACCUGGAAACUGCCAUUGAUACUAUAGCUCUUGAAUUUUCUGGAGGUAAGCGGAAUAUGUCAUGUAGCGGUGAAAUGCUUAGAUAUGACAUAGAACACCAAUUGCGAAGGCAGCUUGCUACAGGAAUAUUGACACUGAGGCACGAAAGCGUGGGGAUCAAACAGG
rnacentral:rRNA from 1 species